rnacentral:rRNA from 1 species
AGUGACGCUGGCGGUAGGCCUAACACAUGCAAGUCGAACGGCAGCACAGUAAGAGCUUGCUCUUACGGGUGGCGAGUGGCGGACGGGUGAGGAAUACAUCGGAAUCUACUUUUUCGUGGGGGAUAACGUAGGGAAACUUACGCUAAUACCGCAUACGACCUACGGGUGAAAGCAGGGGAUCUUCGGACCUUGCGCGAUUGAAUGAGCCGAUGUCGGAUUAGCUAGUUGGCGGGGUAAAGGCCCACCAAGGCGACGAUCCGUAGCUGGUCUGAGAGGAUGAUCAGCCACACUGGAACUGAGACACGGUCCAGACUCCUACGGGAGGCAGCAGUGGGGAAUAUUGGACAAUGGGCGCAAGCCUGAUCCAGCCAUACCGCGUGGGUGAAGAAGGCCUUCGGGUUGUAAAGCCCUUUUGUUGGGAAAGAAAAGCAGCAGGUUAAUACCCCGCUGUUCUGACGGUACCCAAAGAAUAAGCACCGGCUAACUUCGUG